CGGGGGUGAGCUCGGAGGAGCGGCGUCCGGCUCCCAUCCCCCGCGCAUCCGCAGCUCUGGAAUGUGCUCGGGGGAGGCGGGGGGCGGCGGGGUGAGAGCCAGGGUGGGGCCACCCCCAGGGAGGGGGCGGACUCGGCUCCCGGGCGGUAAUUCCCCUCGCUGCCGGCAGUGCGGCUUCUUAGCCCCCCGUCCGAGUGUGUCCAGGAUUGGAAGACAGCGGGAGGCGGAAGGGCGGGAAGAAAGUGCUUGUGAAUUUACCUGUUUAUAAGAAAGAAUUUUAAACAUCAUCAAAGAUGUGGGACCGACUUUCGAUUGCCCUGGCUAGUGGCUUGCGGUGAAAAGGCGCUAUUUGAAAUAGGAGUGCCGGCGCGAAAAGCAGGUCACUCCAGGCGGGGUGCAAUGGAGCAAUGCUCUGGUCUUCGUUUUUGGCCUGCAGUCCUCUGGCUGAUUCAAUUUGUGUUCUCUGUGUGGAUCCUCACUUUCUGGUGUUCAGAAAUAAUGCUGGAUUAAAAGAGCAAUAUUUAUGAGCAUUCUGAAACAGCUUCUGAAUACACAAGCAAUGACAUGAACAAGAUAGAAACUUCCAGGAGGUUCUGUAGUCAUCUGGGACCUGCUGCCUUCCAUCCCGCUGUUCCUGGUACUAAUCUAAGAAGUCUGCUCCAGCCCCAGGCACCUGUCUGCACUUUGUGGAGCACGGAGAGAAGAUAGCAUAGCAAAGAGGUCGCUCCCUUCCUUCAAGGAGUUUCACUGGGAGUUUUCACAUGAAAUUUUGACUGACUUAUUAUUACCCAGAACUUUGUGACUUGGCCUGACUACGAGAAGUGGGGAGGUAUAGGAUCUCCUCAUCAAUGUGUCGAACUAAUAACCAGGGUUCUGUUACCAGAAAAGAAGAUAGUAAAUAUUAGGAGAUAUCCAGCAGUUUCUGUCACAUUUUCACAUUGUGUGUUCUUCAGCAGCUGCAAUUGUUUUCAGCAAGAAUGACCAUCCAGGCAUCUAAUGGCUGUAUGAGGAGAAAGAGACCAUCACCUUCAUUCUUGGAAGAGCCUCUUGUUUGUUCUCCUUACCUUGGCCCCCAGAUGUCUAUUCUUACAGAGCAGCCAGAGUGAAAUUUCAAAAAUAUAUCUGACAUUAUCAUUCUUCACCAUAAAACUAUCCAAUGACAUCUCAUCAUGUUUCCAGGGCGGUUGCCCCAGGGUUGUACCCCUGCCUCUCCCUUCAUUAGAAGCCAAUUACUCUUACCCAAGUUUCAGGAGACAGCAGCAAAGAGAAAAACAAAAAUCUAACCUAAUUGGUUAGAACCAACUAGGCCCAAGAUGGCGGAGGAUUUGACUUCCAGUAGACCUUGAACCUAUUUAAACACCCAGGUAAUCCACAGCGGCAAAUGACACACCCACCAGCGCCAUGACAGUUGACGAUUGCCAUGACAACUGGAAAAGCCCUUACAAGGAUGGAAAAGGAGAGUUGCAUCAGUUCUGGGUCCACACCACAUCCCUGUUCUCAGUAACUCAUGAAUAUUCCUCCCACUCUUCCCAGUUCCCUCCCUGUACCUCAACCCUCUUCUGGUGUCUCUGCUCAGAUUGGGUUGCCAAGUUAAUUUGCAGACUAAGU